rnacentral:rRNA from 2 species
UCCUAAAAGGUAACGGAGGCGCUCAAAGGUUCCCUCAGAAUGGUUGGAAAUCAUUCAUAGAGUGUAAAGGCAUAAGGGAGCUUGACUGCGAGACCUACAAGUCGAGCAGGGUCGAAAGACGGACUUAGUGAUCCGGUGGUUCCGCAUGGAAGGGCCAUCGCUCAACGGAUAAAAGCUACCCCGGGGAUAACAGGCUUAUCUCCCCCAAGAGUUCACAUCGACGGGGAGGUUUGGCACCUCGAUGUCGGCUCAUCGCAUCCUGGGGCUGUAGUCGGUCCCAAGGGUUGGGCUGUUCGCCCAUUAAAGCGGUACGCGAGCUGGGUUCAGAACGUCGUGAGACAGUUCGGUCCCUAUCCGUCGUGGGCGUAGGAAAUUUGAGAGGAGCUGUCCUUAGUACGAGAGGACCGGGAUGGACAUACCUCUGGUGUACCAGUUGUCGUGCCAACGGCAUAGCUGGGUAGCUAUGUGUGGACGGGAUAAGUGCUGAAAGCAUCUAAGCAUGAAGCCCCCCUCAAGAUGAGAUUUCCCAACUUCGGUUAUAAGAUCCCUCAAAGAUGAUGAGGUUAAUAGGUUCGAGGUGGAAGCAUGGUGACAUGUGGAGCUGACGAAUACUAAUCGAUCGAAGACUUAAUCAA